CGGCAAUCUCUCCUCUCUCGCACCACACAGACAUACGGUGCUCGCACGGAUCGCGUUUUUUCUGGUUGGUCCCCAAUACAAGAAACAUUCACGGACAACAGAACAGGGUCGUUUUUCUGCAAAAUUUUAAAAAACCAGUUUGAUCGGCGUUUUGAUGUCGAAUCUCGAUCUCAAAUCGGAUCUCAAAUCAAACGAGUAAAGAGAGUCGCGAGUCGGAUGGGAAUUUCAACCUUUGUUUAUGUUUAUUUGUGUUAACAGACAUAACCAUAUAUAUAACACAACCAUACAUAAUAUUUUAAUCAAUAUCAGAAACCUCAUUGAUAAAUGGAAAACUGUUUUAAACACAGAAAAAUAAAAAUAAUAAACGAAAACCGAAACCUUGGCGCGCUUGCGUGUCGAUCAUUUCCUAGUCUUUUUUUAAUUUAGAACUAUGAAGUAUAGUAACAAGAAAAUUCUUUAUUCUAUUGCAUUUUAUUUGUAACAUGGAUGAACUAUUUACUAUAACCUAUCAUUUACUAUAUCUAUCUGCUAUAAAUUAAUCUAUUACAAAUUAAUGAUGAUGUAGAAUAUAAUAUAUUAAACUAUUAAUUCUUUAAAAAGAUCAAAUCAACCAUAAUGGGUAUGACUGAUAAGAAUUUAUGGAUUCUUAUACGAUAUUAUAAUUAUAAGGAAUCUGAUCAAAACAAUAUUGAAAGUUUGUUGCGCCAAGUCACACUUCCCUCAGUUUUCACGUUUACAGAGUUGAAAUCAGCAAUUUAUUCUUGGGCUAACAUUAAAGAAAAUCAAUCUCAUGUUAUAAAACUUAGACGCUAUGAUAAUAGUUUAGUACCACUAUCUGCAUUAUUUCAAGGAUCAUCAAAGGAAAAGCCGUUUCUUAUGGACGUUGUAAAAUUUCAUCAAUUUUGUACAGCAAAUAUCCAAUCGGUAUCGCCAGAUUAUACAAGCAUAUUUAAAUCUAAAUUAGAAGACCUUGAGAAGCGUGUUGUAGCAAUCGAAACAGCUAUUCCUGAUCUUGCUGUGAAUCAAAUAAGGACUGUGCAAAAUGCAGUUGAUAAAUUAGCCAACUGUGUUGCAUAUUUAGAUCGCAGACUAGAAGAAUUAGCACCUGCAGAUUGGAAAUCGCAAUUAGAUUGUGAAAAUUGAUGUUCCUUUGUUUGGUCAUCUAUAUAGGAUCGUCAAAUGCUAAAACUUAACUCAAUGUAUAAAAGAUAAAUUAUAACUCAUAAUGGAGGAUAUAAAUGCUUCCAGAUCCUGGAAACAAAGAUGCCUGAGCCUAAUUAAUAGGGUGGUUAUGGUUAUUUUUCAAAGCAUGCGAGUCUGUCACUAAAGCAACUUGGUACUAGAACCAGCUGUAACGCAGGCCAAGGAUGGUAAUGAGAUAUCAUGGUCUGCUGGAUCCAGAGUACUAGGAUCGAGGGCACCAGUCAAAUGCCUGAUCAUCAUUAGCACUGGAUCUUCGUUAUUGUUCGCUUUGAGAUGCUGUAUUCAUAAGAUGCAAGUUAUACCUAUGCAUUUAGUGCAUAAAAAAUGAUGAAAAAAUAAAUGGCAAGAUAAAGCAGCAAGGAUUAUUUUCAAGAAGAUGUUGUUAUUAACUUCAAGAAGAUGUUGUUAUUAUUUUCAAGAAGAUGUUGUUAUUAUUUUCAAGAAGAUGUUGUUAUUAACUAUGCAAAUUAAACAGUCUUUGAAGAUUUCUUUUAAAUUGUUUUGAAAAAAUAAUUGCCACGGUAAAAAGUUAUGUUUUUAAAACAUCUACAACUUCUAUACUUAACGUUUCCAUGUUAAAUGUUGUUAAGUGACGAAGUUCCUGGAUAAAUUAUUUAGAAAUAUUAUAUAAAAAUUACACAAAGCCAGUAAAAAGAAGAUCCAGAAACUUCGACGCUUAACUAAGCCUCGAAGAAAUGUACCCGAAACCAAAACAAACUUCUCCUCCCUCGGCUGAAGCGCGCGUGCACAGCCGACGCUGCAGUUUAGCCGUUGACCAUAGUAUUAGGCCCAUAAGGCCUAAUGAGUAAGACAAAGAGCGCGGCUAGGCUGAAGUAAGAAGAGAGGAGAAGUAAGUACCCCGCGUGGGAGAAAGCUUCGACUCUCUCUCAAGCAUCACCUCCCCCGAAACGCCACUCCAGGGUGUGCGCUCCUAGAGAAAGGACGCUAAUUUUAAGAGUUUAGAUUUUGAGUAAUUUGCCUUUGAGAAAUUCAAUAAGUUUUGUUUCAUUUGAGUGUCUGAUUUAAUUUGUGUUUUGAUAAGUUGAUAAUAAACAUCACUGCAAUCCA